rnacentral:rRNA from 1 species
UACGGGGGGGGCAAGCGUUGUUCGGAAUUACUGGGCGUAAAGGGCUCGUAGGCGGCCAACUAAGUCAGACGUGAAAUCCCUCGGCUUAACCGGGGAACUGCGUCUGAUACUGGAUGGCUAGAGGUUGGGAGAGGGAUGCGGAAUUCCAGGUGUAGCGGUGAAAUGCGUAGAUAUCUGGAGGAACACCGGUGGCGAAGGCGGCAUCCUGGACCAACACUGACACUGAGGAGCGAAAGCCGGGGGAGCAAACGGG